rnacentral:lncRNA from 1 species
CUGCACCAGGAGCUCUUGGCCGUCCUUCCUGUUCUCCUCUCCGCAGGUCCAGCACCGCCGCAGCCACUUCCUUCUGUGGAGCAGGUACCCCUGUCCCUGGUCCCUGGGCCCAGAGGGUGCUGGGGCUAAAGUGCCCAGAGGUGUCCCUGGAGGCCCCUGUGAGCCCAGCCAGCGCAGUGCGCACCACCCUCUUAGGCAACAGGAG